rnacentral:rRNA from 1 species
UACGAGGGGUGCAAGCGUUAUCCGGAUUUAUGGGGCGUAAAGAGCGCGUAGGGGGACUGAUACGUCUUGUCUUAAAUGUCUCCGCUUAACGGAGUCGCUGGAUGAGAUACGGUCAGACUAGAGGGUGCCAGAGGCUGAUGGAACGCACGGUGUAGGGGUGAAAUCCGUUGAUAUCGUGCGGAACACCAAAGGCGAAGGCAGUCAGCUGGGGCAUACCUGACCCUCAGUGCGCGAAAGCGUGGGGAGCAAAAAGG